GCUUGUGUAGCUCAAUGGUAGAGCAAUCGGCUGUUAACCGAUAGGCUAUAGGUUCGAGCCCUAUCACAAGCG
rnacentral:tRNA from 1 species